GAUGAACGCUAGCGGGAGGCUUAAUACAUGCAAGUCGAGGGGCAGCAUGACUGUAGCAAUACAGUUGAUGGCGACCGGCAAACGGGUGCGGAACACGUACAGAACCUUCCUUCGAGCGGGGAAUAGCCCAGAGAAAUUUGGAUUAAUACCCCAUAGUACAUUAGAGUGGCAUCACUUUGAUGUUAAAGAUUUAUCACUUGAAGAUGGCUGUGCGGCUGAUUAGGUAGUUGGCGGGGUAACGGCCCACCAAGCCUGCGAUCAGUAACUGGUGUGAGAGCACGACCAGCCACACUGGGACUGAGACACGGCCCAGACUCCUACGGGAGGCAGCAGUGGGGAAUUUUGGACAAUGGGCGCAAGCCUGAUCCAGCCAUUCCGCGUGCAGGAUGAAGGCC
rnacentral:rRNA from 1 species